AAGGCCAAAUUCCACCAGACUGAAGGGGACCACCUCACCCUGCUAGCUGUGUACAACUCCUGGAAGAACAACAAGUUCUCCAACCCAUGGUGCUAUGAGAACUUUAUCCAGGCUCGUUCCCUGCGCCGGGCCCAGGACAUUCGCAAGCAGAUGUUAGGCAUAAUGGACAGACACAAGCUGGAUGUUGUUUCCUGUGGCAAGUCCACAGUCCGAGUGCAGAAGGCCAUCUGCAGUGGGUUCUUCCGUAAUGCUGCCAAGAAAGACCCGCAGGAGGGUUACCGGACACUGAUCGACCAGCAGGGUGGUGUACCAUGAGCUGGUGCUCACCACCAAGGAAUACAUGCGUGAAGUUACCACCAUCGACCCUCGGUGGCUUGUGGAGUUUGCCCCAGCCUUCUUCAAGGUCUCAGACCCAACUAAGCUAAGCAAACAGAAGAAGCAACAGCGUCUUGAACCCUUGUACAACCGCUAUGAGGAACCCAAUGCCUGGAGAAUAUCUCGAGCUUUCCGACGGCGCUGAAAGGCAAGAUUGUUCCUUUGCCUCUCCAGCAGCAGUAGCCAGGGCUUGGACUUAUCGAUGACAGGCUGGUCCUGAGGAUACAGCUGUCCCGUGACUGACUGUCUUAACUGAGCAUUUUCUCAACUCGACUCUCAUUUCUUCCCUGCUGGUAAAAUAGAAACAGGGAUUUAAACCUGGCUUUGGCAAGAGCCUGCAGCCUCCAUCACCCCAAGUCCUUGGGCCCAGUUGGGAGCUCAUAUCUAACACAGAGACACAUUGCAUCAACUUCAAGAAAGGGACAAUUUGUGCAGCUCCAGGAUGGGAAGGUGGAGUGGGUGAGCAUCUUGUGCAGGGACAUGGUGAGUGCCCUGAUGCCCCAGCUAGCAGGAGCUACUGUGCUCAUCUAAAGUGUUUGCCCCACUUCCCACCCCGUCUCCAGCCCCUGUACUUUGGCUUGACCUCGUGGAAAUAUUUAUUUUCUUAAGGAAACAAAAAUGGUUUUCUGUGACUGUUUUCUUUUAGCCGAAAGGUUAGGAUAUUGGCCUGGGCUCAGGGUGAGGGAGAUUUAGUAUCUGUGCUCUGGCACACAUGAUGAGAAUCCCCUGAAUCCCCUGAAACCAGAACGCAGGGCCUCUUUGCGCUCGGAAACGACGUACAACCCAGACUUCCAGCCUUGUCUUUCAGCAUCAGCACUAGCCGGGCCGUGCUGGGGGAUCACCCGAUGAUCAACCAUGUCCUCUCCACAGAGCACUUCAGUCUGGAGGCCUGAGUGGCUACAGAUGGCACAUAUUAAAUACAGAAGGUUUCCCCUUGCUCCCUCCACCUCCCACAUUCGCAAUGUGCAGCAUGUCCCAUUUCCUUUUGAAACAUACUAAGUAACAACACAGCUUUUAUUUUAUUUUGUUUUUAUUUUUUUCCCCUGAGGUCCUGGAUGGACUUUAACAAAGGGAUUUUAUGGUCAAAACCUCCCUUUCCCCACUCCAAACAGAAAACAAACAUAACACCUCUCCUCUCAGCUGGUUUGUGCUGCCAGUAUCUGUGCUGCAGGGCUUGUUCUUAGUGGUUUUUUCCUAGCACUUGCUUGGAGAAUAGCCACCUCCUUGUGCCCUCCUCACAGCUCCUGAGGAGGGUUUUUUUUUUUUCUUCCCAUAGAGAUGGGUUCCCACUGUGCUGCCCAGGCUGCUCUCCAAUCCCUGGCGUCAAGCAAUCCUCCUGCCUCUGCCUCCCAAAGCGCUGGGAUUACAGUUGAGAGCCACUGUCCUCUGCACUGAGGAGGCUCCUUACCUGGCGGAACAUCAGGCAGGUCUUGCCAGGCCAGGUUUCGGAACUUACGGAAAGCUGGUCUGGAUGUAGUGCUUGUAGAGAAGCUUCUGAGAGAUUGGGCACAUCCUGUUACGUUGCUGCUUCUCCUGUCCUUAUGUUAUUAGUAAGUUCUGAAGUGAUGUAAAUGCUAGAACUACUGUAGAACUGUAUGCCAGACACUAAGAGAGACUAUGUAACAUUCCAGGAUAUAAAGGAAUGUAUGUUGUCACUGGGCAGCAAACCACACCCUAAAGACAAUUCAGAAAGAGUCCGAGGGAGAGGAAUAUAGGCCAGGCAAUCUGCUGGCUGCAGAUCCCUGCCCCUUCAUUAAGCUGAGUGCCUCCUGAUUCUGUCUGAGUAUUCGCCUUUGUAAGCCCAGGCCAGUAAUCAAGGGGCAGGGCAUUGUUGUGUGUUAACCUUGAAGGCCUUCUGGGGAGAGACAGUACAGGGACCUCAAAUGAAACCAAAGGGGAAACGGGGACUGGGCACCCACCUCCCCAAUCUCGUUUUGUUUUUGUUUUUGUUAAGACAGGAUCUUGCCAUCUUGCCUAGGCUGGCAUCAAACUCCUGAGCUCAAGUGAUCUUCCUGCCUCAGCCUCCUGAGUAGCUGGGACUACAGGUGCAUGCCACCACACCUGGCUCCCAGUCCUAAUUCCAGCCUAAAUUUUCCCCAUUCAGAAACACUCCUGGAUAUAGUGGCCCAGCCUGUCCUGACUGAGUGCCCAGCACUGACAAUGUUGACACCUGGGGAGGGAGGGUUGGGUUUCAAGCUGAGGUUGAAAAGGGAUGUUGAAUGGGCUAAGGAUAAGAGACAGCAGGGUUCGUUAUCUUUUCUGGCUCAGGUGGAGGAAAAAGAAGGAUCCCCAUUCUGUGGGUGUUCCUUGACCAUCUCUCUACGCUAGAGCUGAGGUCACUUCUCUGCUAUGACAACAUAGCUGGGUUCUGACCUUUUGACCAUCAGGAAAGCAAUGUCAGCAGCUGAGCUGAGCCUGCUCUGAGGGAGAAGGGGGGGGUCCUGUCCAGAUGCAGAAGGGGAGCUUGCCUGCUGCUCUCACACAAUGGAGCCCUUGUUUCUCUUCCUUGAACCAGUAUUUCCCAAGAUUGAGUGACAGCCCAGGAGAGGAUGUGGGUCUCAUGCAGAGAGCUGGGAUCUUCUUGGCCAUUAAAGUAUAUUGUUCACCCCCACCCCGCGAGAACCAAGCUCAGGAGUUGCCUGCCUCUGCACACAUGCUGAGUGUGCUGUUUGUGUAUAUGGCAGGACCGUCCCUAUGGGGCAUGUGUGAGCUCCGCAGCUGGGUCAGGCUCCUCGGUCCAGGUUUACUUCAUCCCGCCUGGACGUGAUUUGGCUUUGACUGUCUCUCCUGCAGCCCAAAGCACUUCCUCCCUGUGGUUGCUGUAGCUGUCUCAUUGGAGCAGUGCCUCUCCAAGUUUGAGGAUUUGAACAAAGAACUGGGACUGGUGACUUGUUAAUGAACAGUUCAGAGGGCAGAGGGCCAUCAUCUCAGCUUGUGGAGACCUUUCUUUCCCUGGAUGCUGCUUCUCAGCUAACUCCCUCUCUCUUCGUGUGUGUACUCGGCCUUCAGGGUUUCCACCGAUUUUUACACCUUCUUCCCACCACGAUAGCUUGGCUUUAAUGUGGAAUUAAAUUAUAUAUUUUU
rnacentral:lncRNA from 1 species